UACGGAGGAUGCAAGCGUUGUCCGGAAUCAUUGGGCGUAAAGGGUCCUGAGGCGGUUUGCUCAGUCCACUGUGAAAGUUCAGGGCUUACCCUUGAAAAUGCGGUGGAAACUAGUAGGCUAGAGUACGGUGGGGGCAGAGGGAAUUCCCGAUGUAGCGGUGAAAUGCAUAGAUAUCGGGAAGAACACCGAAGGCGAAGGCACUCUGCUGGGCCGACACUGACACUGAAAGACGAAAGCCAGGGGAGCGAAUGGG
rnacentral:rRNA from 1 species